rnacentral:lncRNA from 1 species
CUUAUGGGCCUCGAGGAGCUGGGGAGUGUUUUCUAAUCAUAGGAGCUUGGUGGGAGGGAGCAGGUGGUGAGGAUGCCACUCCAUGGGCAGGUCACAUCUGGGUGUGAGGGUGGCCAGGAAGGUCACGGCUGGUUUUGGGGAAAUUGCAGACCGUCUGGCCAGGCUGAGGGCCCAAUGUGGAGGGGGCCAGCGAUGAGGUAGGUGGAGUGGUGCCUGCGGGGAGGUCCCUGAUGCCACUUGAGGCUGGCGUUUGG